CCUUAAGUUGACGUGAUAUUUAUUAGCCUCUGAAUUUUGAUAUUCAUGAGGUGAGAAGGAAUUUCAGAUAUGCCUUCUAGAUAUGAAGCAAAUCAGCACUAAGAAAAGGUGUCCAAUCUCUAGCCAGUUUAAUGCAGGUGGGAAUAAGUGUGGGAAUGGUGGUAAGGCUACUCCAUCUCCAACAGAAAUUGUGGAAAACCAGGCAAGAAAAGCCACUCAAAAAAGCUGACAUGAAAGGCAAAGUAAGUGAUAUAAAAAAAUUACAACUCCAGAGAGCCAGAAUACAACCCACCAGGAGUUUUGCUUCACCACCAACAUAAAUAGUUUAUAAAGCAAGAGAUAGGAAUAGA
rnacentral:lncRNA from 1 species